rnacentral:rRNA from 1 species
CCAAUAGCGUAUAUUAAAGUUGUUGCAGUUAAAAAGCUCGUAGUUGAAUUUCGGGGUCAGUAGGUUGGUCAUGCCACUGGUAUGUACUGGCUUCACUGAUUCCUCCUUCCUGAUGAGCCGUAAUGCCAUUAAUUUGGUGUUGCGAGGAAUCUGGACUGUUACUUUGAAAAAAUUAGAGUGUUUAAAGCAGGCUAACGCUUGAAUACAUUAGCAUGGAAUAAUGAAAUAGGACGUUCGAUCUUAUUUUGUUGGUUUCUAAGAUUGACGUAAUGAUUAAUAGGGAUAGUUGGGGGCAUUAGUAUUCAAUUGUCAGAGGUGAAAUUCUUGGAUUUAUUGAAGACUAACUACUGCGAAAGCAUUUGCCAAGGAUGUUUUCAUUAAUCAAGAACGAAAGUUAGGGGAUCGAAGACGAUCAGAUACCGUCGUAGUCUUAACCAUAAACUAUGCCGACUAGGGAUCGGAUGAUGUUAAUUUUUUAAUGACUCAUUCGGCGCCUUACG